UACGUAGGGUGCGAGCGUUGUCCGGAAUUAUUGGGCGUAAAGCGCGCGCAGGCGGUCCUUUAAGUCUGAUGUGAAAGCCCACGGCUCAACCGUGGAGGGUCAUUGGAAACUGGGGGACUUGAGUACAGAAGAGAAGAGUGGAAUUCCACGUGUAGCGGUGGAAUGCGUAGAGAUGUGGAGGAACACCAGUGGCGAAGGCGACUCUUUGGUCUGUAACUGACGCUGAGGCGCGAAAGCGUGGGGAGCAAACAGG
rnacentral:rRNA from 1 species